GACGAACGCUGGCGGCGUGCUUAACACAUGCAAGUCGAACGAAGUGGCGAACGGGUGAGUAACGCGUAAUCAACCUGCCCUUCAGAGGGGGACAACAAUUGGAAACGACUGCUAAUACCGCAUACUGAAGGAGGGGAUUGCGUUUGAUUAGCUAGUUGGAGGGGUAACGGCCCACCAAGGCGAUGAUCAGUAGCCGGGCUGAGAGGAUGGACGGCCACAUUGGGACUGGGGAAAGGCCCAGACUUCUACGGGAGGGAGCAGUGGGGAAUCUUCCGCAAUGGACGAAAGGCUGAAGGAGCAACGCCGCGGUAGUGAUGACGGCCUUCGGGUUGUAAAGGUCUGUUAAUCGGGACGCGGUACCGGAAGAGAAAGCCACGGCUAACUACGUGCCAGCCGCCGCGGUAAUUC
rnacentral:rRNA from 1 species